rnacentral:rRNA from 1 species
UACGGGGGGAGCAAGCGUUGUUCGGAUUUACUGGGCGUAAAGGGCGCGUAGGCGGCCACCGCAAGUCGAUUGUGAAAUCUCCGGGCUUAACUCGGAAAGGUCAACCGAUACUGCGGGGCUAGAGUGCAGAAGGGGCAACUGGAAUUCUCGGUGUAGCGGUGAAAUGCGUAGAUAUCGAGAGGAACACCUGCGGCGAAGGCGGGUUGCUGGGCUGACACUGACGCUGAGACGCGAAAGCGUGGGGAGCGAACAGG